rnacentral:rRNA from 1 species
AACGCGAAGAAUCCUUACCUGGUCUUGACAUCCUAGGAACCCUGAAGAGAUUUGGGGGUGCCGCAAGGAACCUAGAGACAGGUGCUGCAUGGCUGUCGUCAGCUCGUGUCGUGAGAUGUUGGGUUAAGUCCCGCAACGAGCGCAACCCUUGUCCUUAGUUGCCAGCAUUAAGUUGGGCACUCUAAGGAGACCGCCGGUGACAAACCGGAGGAAGGUGGGGAUGACGUCAAGUCAUCAUGGCCUUUAUGACCAGGGCUACACACGUGCUACAAUGGUAGAUACAGAGGGAAGCCAACGCGCGAGCGGGAGCCAAUCCCAGAAAAUCUAUCGUAGUCCGGAUUGGAGUCUGCAACUCGACUCCAUGAAGUCGGAAUCGCUAGUAAUUCGCAGAUCAGCAUUGCUGCGGUGAAUACGUUCCCGGGUCUUGUACACACCG